rnacentral:lncRNA from 1 species
UCCAUUCACGUCACCUCCAUAUCUCUUCUUAAUCAAUUUUUAUUUUUUUUCAUUUUAGUCAUUUCUACUAUUCUCAACUUCUUCAAGCUUAAAAACUUCAAAUUCUUCUAUAGGUUCUUAGUGAAAUCAAUAGAGCAACCCUAUAGCAAGCUUAGUUUCUUGUAAAGUUAACUAGUGUUUACAUUGGAGAAGAGAGAAAACUGAAGUUAGGGAUUUUAGUAAAAGUUUAAGGUAAAGAUGAUGAGAUUUCUUUAAGGAUUUCAUGUUUAUUUCAUUAAAAUUGCAUGGAAAUUAUAUGUGAUUAUUGUUUUGAUAUUAAAUCUUGUAUGUGUGUGAUAUGUUAAUGAAGAGAAAAAUAAGAAAGGUGGUCAAUAAGGUCGUGAUAAGGGGAAAGAAGUAACAAACGAGUGAAGAAAGAAGAAAGAACUCAUCCAAGCAUUUGAUUGUAAGUACUUCGAGAAUUUCACUUUACCUAACUUAACUUAAGAGUAAGUCAUAUUAAAAUGGUUAGAUGAUUGAAUUGUAUGUGAAUAUAUCAAGAAUAUAUGUAUAAAAGUUGAUGAAUGAUUGGUGAAAAUAUGAAUUGAAUUUUAAUUACAAAAUGCGUAGAUUUGAAUGAAGAGACUAAAUUGUAGUAAGAAGAGACUAAAUAGUAACACCCUUCGCUCGAUCCGGUUGUCAAAUCCAAACUAUAAGAUGUUACAUUUGUUGCCGGAGCAACUACAUUUAAACCCAACAUAAUUUCUAUUAAUACAAUAACUUGAAUCCAAUAGCUUUAGUGUCCAAAUGUGACAUCCUUUGCUCGUGAUGUAUCGAUUCACUUUGAGUAAUAGGUGCUACAAUGACAAAGUUGUAUUCCAAUCAGACAUGACAUUCAACAUGACCUUUAAAAGUGAUGCUUCACUUGAUAGCAUAAAAAGGGGAUCCUGAGGAAAACCCAAGCUAGUAGUACUAAGUGAAUCUCUAACAUGAAUUAUAAAUUCCUAAGGCCAACCAAAAGGGGGUGUGAAUUCAUUAUGGUAGAUGUAAUGACCUAAUUCUUAGUGGUGUCAAAAAAUGCUGUAGCGAAACUAUUUUUCAUAAACCGAGUCCGUAAAUAUUAAAUAAAAAUGUUUAUGAAGUUAUUAUGAAAUAUAUUGAAGUUCCAUUAAGUAAAUUAGCCGAAAAAAUAGUUAAUUAAAGCUCAGAGACUAAGUUAUAAAAUUCCAAUUAUUAUAGAGUUUUAAUUGACAAAUCCUUAAGGACUAAUAUGGAAAAUAACCAAAGGGCCAAAAUGGUUAUUUAACCAUUGUGAAACAUAGGAUAGUGGCGAUGAUGGUGUUCACCACUAAUUGUGAUUAAUGGUAAUUAAAGUAAAAUAAAUCCAAAUUAAGUUAAUUAAGUAAAGUAAUUAAGGUUAAACAUUAGUAUAAAAACUAAAAAAAGUGAAGAAAGAUGAAAAAGUCAUCAUCUUUCUCAUUCAUCGUCCAUGGAGGAAGAAAAACCUCCCCAAAUAUUUUCAAGGUUAGGCAAGUAAAUUAAGCAUGAAAUUCAAGUCCUUUUCUUGUAAUUUUUAUAGAUUUCUUUUUUAUCAUGGGAGCUUGGUUUAGCUAGCCCAUGUACCAAUUUGAUUAAUUGUUUAAAUUUUAGAAAGUUACCAUAAAUUGAUGAAUUAGACUUGAAUUUGAUAGAUAUUAAACUUAGAUUAUUAAAAUGACUAGAUUGCAAAGUUAAUUAAUCUUAAUUGUUAGCUUUGUAACAUUAGUGACCAAAUUGAAUAAAUGUAAACCUUGUAAUAAAAUUUGGAUAUAAAUAGAAAGUAUAAGGUCUCUAAUGAAAGAAUAUAAAAUCAUAUUUUAAUCCAAAGCUAGGAAUCGAAAGAUAUGCUUAUCCCGAGUCUAGAGACUAAAUUGAAUAAAAUGUAGAAUGUGUGUGGCUUUGUAUUUGGAUGUGAAUCCAAUGAAAUCUGAUAUUUUUUAUUAUUGGAUUAUCGGUGGUAGCGAAAGAUGAUUUCCAGGCCAUCGAGAGGGAAAAGAAAAGAAACAGUCGUCGGCGAG